rnacentral:rRNA from 1 species
AUUGAACGCUGGCGGCAGGCCUAACACAUGCAAGUCGAACGGUACCAGGAAGAAGCUUGCUUCUUUGCUGCCGAUUGGCGGACGGUUGCUUACUGUCUUGGAAACUUCCUGAUGUAGGUGUAUAACUACUUGCAACGGUAGCUAAUACCGCAUAACGUCGCCCGCCCAACUAGGUGUCCCUUCGGUCCUCUUGCCAUCUGAUUUUCCCAGAUGGGAUUAGCUAGUAGGUGGGGUAACGUCUCCCCUAGGCGACGAUCCCUAGCUGGUCUGAGAGGAUGACCAGCAAAACGGGAACUGAGACACGGGCCAGACUACUAAGGGAGGCAGCAGUGGGGAAUAUUGCACAAUGGGCGCAAGCCUGAUGCAGCCAUGCCGCGUGUAUGAAGAAGGCCUUCGGGUUGUAAAGUACGGUCAGCGGGGAGGAAGGGAGUAAAGUUAAUACCUUGGCUCAUUGACGUUACCCGAAGAAGAAGCACCGGCUAACUCCGUG